rnacentral:ncRNA from 20 species
UGACCCUAGGGCGGCCGCCGACGGCUGCCGCCCGUACCUGAUCUGGGUAAUGCCAGCGUAGGGACCAAGGCACACGCUUUG